CAGCAGCAGCCGCGGGAAUACGAAGGGUGCAAGCGUUAAUCGGAAUUACUGGGCGUAAAGCGUGCGUAGGCGGUUUGUUAAGUCUGCUGUGAAAUCCCCGGGCUCAACCUGGGAAUGGCAGUGGAUACUGGCAAGCUAGAGUGUGUCAGAGGAUGGUGGAAUUCCCGGUGUAGCGGUGAAAUGCGUAGAGAUCGGGAGGAACAUCAGUGGCGAAGGCGGCCAUCUGGGACAACACUGACGCUGAGGCACGAAAGCGUGGGGAGCAAACAGGAUUAGAUACCCGCGUAGUCCCUGUCUCUUAUAA
rnacentral:rRNA from 1 species